rnacentral:rRNA from 1 species
UACGGAGGGUGCAAGCGUUAUCCGGAUUCACUGGGUUUAAAGGGUGCGUAGGUGGGCAGGUAAGUCAGUGGUGAAAUCUCCGCGCUUAACUCGGAAACUGCCAUUGAUACUAUCUGUCUUGAAUACCGUGGAGGUCAGCGGAAUAUGUCAUGUAGCGGUGAAAUGCGUAGAUAUUGCUCGGAAGGCCGGAGCCGAAGGGGCCCUACUGGUGCGCAACUGACGCUGAUGCACGAAAGCGUGGGGAGCAAACAGG